ensembl:snoRNA Small nucleolar RNA SNORD67
AGUGAGGGUGAUGAGUUGCACUGCUGUGUGGAUCUGUGCUGUGUCACUGACUCCACUCUGACUCCUGAAGAGCCACAUGUGCACAGGGGCCAUCUGACUCACU